UACAGAGGGUGCGAGCGUUAAUCGGAAUUACUGGGCGUAAAGCGUGCGUAGGCGGUUAUUUAAGUCGGAGGUGAAAGCCCCGGGCUCAACCUGGGAAUUGCAUUCGAGACUGAAUAGCUAGGGUACGGUAGAGGGAAGUGGAAUUUCCGGUGUAGCGGUGAAAUGCGUAGAUAUCGGAAGGAACAUCAGUGGCGAAAGCGACUUGCUGGACCAGUACCGACGUUCAGGCACGAAAGCGUGGGGAGCAAACAGG
rnacentral:rRNA from 1 species